UAAGGAAUAUUGCUCAAUGGGAGAAAUCCUGAAGCAGCAACGCCGCGUGGAGGAUGAAGGGUCUAUGACUUGUAAACUCCUGUAAAGAAGGAAAAAAUUCCCAUUUGAUGGGAGAUGAUGGUACUUCUGGAGUAAGCCCCGGCUAACUACGUGCCAGCAGCCGCGGUCAUACGUAGGGGGCAAGCGUUGUCCGGAUUUACCGGGUGUAAAGGGCGCGCAGGCGGGAUAAAAAGUCAGUGGUGAAAUCCUACAGCUUAACUGUACAACUGCCUUUGAUACUUUUAUUCUUGAGUGCGGGAGAGAGAGACGGAAUUCCAGGUGUAGUGGUGAAAUACGUAGAUAUCUGGAAGAACACCAGUUGCGAAGGCGGUCUCUUGGUCCGACACUGACGCUGACGCGCGAAAGCGUGGGGAGCAAACA
rnacentral:rRNA from 1 species